ACGAACGCUGGCGGCAUGCCUCACACAUGCAAGUCGAACGAAGUCUUCGGACUUAGUGGCGCACGGGUGCGUAACGCGUGGGAAUCUGCCCUUGGGUACGGAAUAACUCAGAGAAAUUUGUGCUAAUACCGUAUAAUGUCUUCGGACCAAAGAUUUAUCGCCCAAGGAUGAGCCCGCGUAAGAUUAGCUAGUUGGUGGGGUAAAAGCCUACCAAGGCGACGAUCUUUAGCUGGUCUGAGAGGAUGAUCAGCCACACUGGGACUGAGACACGGCCCAGACUCCUACGGGAGGCAGCAGUGGGGAAUAUUGGACAAUGGGCGAAAGCCUGAUCCAGCAAUGCCGCGUGAGUGAUGAAGGCCCUAGGGUUGUAAAGCUCUUUUACCAGGGAUGAUAAUGACAGUACCUGGAGAAUAAGCUCCGGCUAACUCCGUG
rnacentral:rRNA from 1 species